AUAUGAGUGGUUACAAUUAGGGAAUUAAGAAAAGAAAGAAAUUAGGGGGAUAAUGAGAAAAUAAUUAGAAAGAAGAAUUUUGAAAGAUAACUACUAAAGGAGAAUAAUGUGGGGAAAAGACUAGAUAGAAGGAAUUAGGGGGAACAUUGAGAGAUGAGAUGGUAAAUGGAAUAUCUCUGCAUUUCAUGGUUUUUAAACAUAAAGGGAAAGAAAAGUUUUACGUUUCUGAUUGAUUGUAUGUGGGUAUAUCACAUGUCUAGGGUGUAGUCUAUUAUAUAUACUUACUGAGCUUGUUGUUUUGCUAAUUCCAUUUAAAUUCAACUCAUUUUCAUAUCAAACCGAAG
rnacentral:lncRNA from 1 species